rnacentral:tRNA from 1 species
UAGCCUGUAUGGGCUAGUGGGUAUUGCUCCUCUCCUUGACAUGGUGGGGGUCGUUGGUUCGAGUCCAAUCGCGCCUACCA